rnacentral:tRNA from 1 species
GAAAUAUGAUAUUCAAAAUAAAGCUUCUAACUUUAAUUUUUAGCAGUGAAAUUCUGUUUAUAUUUCU